rnacentral:lncRNA from 1 species
CUGUAAACAGCAAUAAUGUUCAGCAAAGUAAGAUUUACAAAUAAGUCAACAUGACCAAAAUGGUCAGUUGACCCCUUUAGGAGUUAUUGACCUUUAUAUUCAAUUUCUAACCAUUUUUCGUAAAUCUUAGUAAUCUUUUACAAAAAUCUUCUCCUCUGAAACUACUGGGCCAAAUUAAUCCAAACUUGGCCACAAUCAUCUUUGGGAUAUCUAGUUUAAAAAAUGUGUGGCAUGACCCGGCCAACCAACCAAGAUGGCCGCCAUGGCUAAAAAUAGAACAUAGGGGUAAAAUGCAGUUUUUAGCUUAUAACUCAAAAACCAAAGCAUUUAGAGCAAAUCUGACAGCAGUUAAAGUGUUUAUAAGGUCAAUAUCUAUCUGUCCUGAAAUUUUCAGAUGAAUCGGACAACCUGUUGUUGGGUUGCUGCCCCUGAAUUGGUAAUUUUAAGGAAAUUUUGCUGUUUUUGGUUAUUACAGUGAAACCUGAUUAAACCGAACCCUGAAUAAACCGGAAACCUGUCUAAUCCAAACUUGUUCUGAAGACCAAUCAUAUCACAUGUUAUGCAUUGUGAACCUGAUGAAACCGAAUACCUGCCAAAACCGAACGCAAUCUCAAGUCCCGAAAGGGUUCGGUUUAGUCAGGUUUCACUGUAUCUUGAAUAUUAUUAUAGAUAGAGAUAAACUGUAAACAGCAAUUAUGUUCAGCAAAGUAAGAUUUACAAAUAAGUCAGCAUGACCAAAAUGGUCAAUUGACCCCUUAAGGAGUUAUUGCCCUUUAUAGUUAAUUUUUAACAUUUUUCAUAAAUUUUUGUAAAUUUGUAGAAAAUAUUUUCCACUGUAAUUACUGGGCCAAGUUCAUUAUAGACAGAGAUAAUUGUAGCAACAAGAAUGUUCAGUAAAGUAAGAUCUACAAACACAUCACUUUCACCAAAACACAAUUAUGUCAUGAAUUUAUCCGUGUCCAUUAUUUAAUAUGCACAAGACCAAGGUGAGCGACACAGGCUCUUUAGAGCCUCUAGUUAUUAUCUAUCAACAAAAGUU